AACAGUCAUUUCAACAUCACCUGUAUAAGCCACACAAAGACAAUGGUUUACAAGAGAUUAAUUUAAAACAGCAAACACUGAACAGAACAAUCUACAGUAUUAAUAAGACAGUGUUUCAUAUGGUACCCUAUUCCCUAUGUAGUGCACUACUUUAGACAAGGGUACAUAGGGUAGUGCACCAGGGUCCAUAAGGUAGUGUACUACAUUAGACCGCGGACCAUAGUGUAGUGCACUACUUUAGACCAGGGUCCAUAAGGUAGAGUACUACAUUAGACCGCGGCCUAUAGGGUAGUGCACUACUUUAUUCCAGGGUCCAUAAGGUAGUGUACUACAUUAGACCGCGGACCAUAGUGUAGUGCACUACUUUAGACCAGGGUCCAUAAGGUAGAGUACUACAUUAGACCGCGGCCUAUAGGGUAGUGCACUACUUUAUUCCAGGGUCACUAUAUAGGGAAUAUGAUGCCAUUUGGGACACAACAGAUGAUUGACAGUCGGUAGAGGAGUCUAACCAGAAGUAGUUUAUAUGACCCUUUAUUUAUAAAGCCUCCACUCAACCAAGAUGGGCUAUUUACAAGUCAUUUGUUAGAAUGUUUCCUACUAAAAACAUAAUUCUUAAAUCUUUAUAAACUAUUUCCGUGUUUUAAACAAAUUAAAACCUAAAACUUAAUUUACAUCUUGUUUGGCAAAAAGGAAAAAUCGACUUCUACAAAAUGGGAUGAUCAAGACGUUGCGAAGUGAAAAUGAUAUUUAACCCAAAUCUAAUGUUACACAUUACAAAUCUAAUGUUACACAUGUUCAAUUGUGUUUACAAUGAGUUGAGUAGUUUCACAUUUUUUCCAAAAUCAAAAUGAACUAAAACAGAAAAGUUGGCCUAAAUUCCCCUCACUGCCAUUCAGGUAACAAUCGCCUGUCUUCUCACGGCCCUGUCAGGUAAUUCCUUUUAAGGAGAACGUAAAAGGUUCUAAGUUUGGGCCUUGAAUCUCAGGGAGUGGUUAUGAUUCAACUGAAAUGCCCAUUCUGUAGUUAGACGGUUUCCUAUAUGGUGAUUGAUCUGGUAAUAAAUGCAUCUUUCCCCCCUCAGUCUGAUCCCAGAUCUGUUUGUGGUCUUGGCCAACUGUCCUUGCUGUACUUGUCAAGCCCAACAUGUUUGAUACGACAGUGAGUGACAAGGAGUUGGUAUGACGGCACAAACAGACUGGGGAACCAGGCUAAAUCUAUCCCCCCACUGCAAAAGGGAACUGUUGUGGAGAAAUCACCCAAAGUCAUCAAGCCAAGCGAUCUAUAGUCAUGUUAAAAUACAAACAGGUCGCUAAGCAACGUGGUUCCUAAACAUACAUGUACAAUAAAAAGUGAUCAACUUGCCUGUUGUUAAUAAUGUUAAGACCACUGCAUGGGUUUAAACACCAUCACCUUAAUGUCCUGGGAUUCAUCCCAAAUGGAAUACUAUUCCCUAUCUAGAGCACUACUUUUGACCAGAGUUCUGGUCUAAAGUAGUUCACUAUAAAAGGGAGUAGGGUGCCAUUUAGGACGAAUCUCGGUUAGAAGAAGGAUUAAGUCAUUACUGUAUUACAAGGCAUCAGAAUAACCUUAAUUAAUAUAACCUUAAGGGGGCAGGUUCUCUAACAGUCUAGAACACAACAAAACAAAACA